UGGAAAUAAUAAUAUGCAUAAAGGUCUUAGGUGGAACAUUCUUCAAUGUUACAGAUAAAGCUACUAACGAACGUCUAGGACCUUUUGCCUACGAAACCUCUGCGUGUCUGCAACCAACAUCUGAACGAGAAGUUGUUCUCCAAGUGGAUGCUCCGCUAGACCUUCGUUACAUGGGAGAGUUUGAAUACAGAAUUUAUAAAUGAUUUUAUUUCUAGGAAUAAAUUUUUAAUAUGAA